rnacentral:lncRNA from 1 species
CCCGGAUAUUCAGCCAAUAGACUUAAUCACCACGUUGAGCAUAUACAAAGUAACUUACGCUUCAGAUACAAUAGAAUCAACCAAGAGUAUAUACAAAUGUAUGAAGAAAUCAAAGUUUCUUCACUGCAUCUUUUCUCUCGCAUCUCUAUAUUAUAACAAACUAUACUCCUUACAAUCUCACAAUUUGUACACUAAAUACAAUCAAGAAUCCUUCACAAAAAAAAUAGAGAUUGAAUCACAAAGAAGAAGAAGUAACAAAAACCAGAGAGAAACCCAAAAUCAAAAUGCACAAAACCGCACUAAUCCAACUACUCAAAUGAACGCAUUUUUAUAUUUAAAAAGUCACCCAAGAAUUAUUCAAAUCCAACAAUUGAGAAAUAGCCACGUGUAGAGCUAGAUCUCAUCAAUAAAGAGAGGCAAAGCCGCAUUAUAAGAUACGAUUUAUCAAAACCCAGAAGUCCAAUUUUAGCAACCCAAUUACAAAUAUGAUAGCCCAAUGCCAAUAAUAGUGAGGCAAUCCAAAUUCAGCAAUCUCUACCUUGUUGAACUAUGCUUGUUAUGAACUACUGAACCCAGAAAUUACUUUGUUUCAUUUGCUCUUAUUUACCUGUAAAUAGAAAAUAACCAAAUUUAGUAAAGAAUUAAAACGUUACAGCUUGAUAUUCUAAAUUCACACAUUUUAAGUGCUAUUUAUAAUCUUCGAGCAGGUUUUAAAAUUACUUAAAUGCAGUACUUUGAUUCCAAGAUUAAAAGGAUUGUACUCAAUAGGGAUUUUUACAAGACUAAAUAGAUUUUUCUCAACCAUAUUCCUCACAAAUUGAAACUUUAUAUUAACAUGUUUUGUUCUUAUGAUUUUUGCUUAAAUGAAUAGCACUUUGAUUAUCAGUAUAGUUCUAACCAUUUCACUUUUGAACCCAAUUUCAUUUAACAAACCCCUUAACCAAAGAUCUUUUUUCACAGUAUCACAGGUAGCAAUAUAUUCUGCCUCUAUGGAAAAUAGGGCUACAAGUUUUUGUAAUCAAGAUUUCCAACCGACACAACAUCACACAAAGUAAAAAUAUAGGAUGUGGAUCUUCUUUUAUCUAAAUCUCCAGCAAAAUUAGAAUCAGUGUAUCUUUUAAGAGUUAUGCUCUCAUUGCAUCUUUUAAAUUUUAGACCUAAGUCAGAUGAACCUUUCAAAUAGCUUAGCAUCCAUUUAUUGGCUAGCCAGUGUGUUUCAACUAGGUUUACCAUAAAUUUUCUAAGAAUGCUUAUGUCAUAAGCUAAAUUAGGUCUAGUGCUCAUCAUAAGAAACAUAAUAGACCGUAUAUCAUUAGCAUAAGGUAUAUUUUUCAUUCUUACAAAUUCAUCCUCAGUUUUAGAUGACUGUUCAUUUGACAAUUUGAAAUGAUUAGCAAUAGGCAAUGAAACAGAUUUACAUUCAAGCUUGGCAAACUUUUCAAGUAUUUUAAGCACAUAAGAGCAUUGGUUCAAAUAUAGAAUGCAAUUGUUCCUAUCCAUUUUUAUCUUCAUCCCAAGAAUUCUUUUAGCUUGUCCUAGAUCUUUCAUUUUAAAUUCAGAUUUCAAUUUUGACUUAAUUGAAUCUAUUUUAGAUCUAUCAUGGCAAGCAAUUGAUAUGUCAUCAAUAUAUAGUAAUAAAUACACAGAUUGAGGUCCUUUUGACCCUUUGAAAUAUGAAUUAAAAUUGCUCUUAAUCAAACCUUGAACAUAUGAUUUAAAUUUCUUAUACCACUGUUUUGGGGCUUGUUUCAUGCCAUAAAGAAACUUCUUAAACAUGCAUACCUUUUUAGAUUUUGAACUUACUUCAAUCCCCUUUGAUUGACUUGUAUAAAUUUCUUCAUCAAUGUCACCAUUAAGAAAAACAGUUUUGAAAUUAAGUUGAUUCAACUUCCAGUUAAAAUGAGCAGUCAAAGCUAGCAAAACUCUAAUCGAGAUGUAUUUAGCAAGUGGGGAAAAUAUUUCAUUAUAAUCAAUUCCUUCUAUUUGGGAAAACCCUUUAGCCGCAAGUCUUGUUUUGUAUCUUCUAUUAUUUACAUUAAAAUCUCCUUCUUUUAUUUGAAAAAUCCAUUUACAAUCAACUGCCUUUUGGUUUGUAGGUUUAUCAACCGAAAUCCAAGUUUUGUUUUUAAUCAAAGAAUCCAUUUCAUCUUUCAUGGCUUUUUUCUAAAUGGUUGAUUUAGAAUAGUUAGUGGCCUCUUCAAAGGUACUUGAUUUAGAAUUUAGGAAAUCAAGUGCAAAAAAUAGACUUACAAAAUCAUCAUUACUAAUUCUAACAGAAGGAAUCUAUUCCUUAUAUUCUUAUCUCUAGUAAGUUGAUAGUCUGCAAGAGAAGUAUCUUGAGAUUCUACUUCAUUUUCAAAUUCAAUUUACUUAGAAUUUAUUUCAAAUUGAGUAGAUUCCACCUCAAUCAAAUCAUUGGAAUCGGUAGGGAUUUCUCCUUGAUUUUUCAAUACAAUUUCAUUAACAAGGGCUGUUCCAGGAGGUUUCAACUUUGGUGAAGUAUUACAAGG